AUCUACAUAUAUUAUAUGAUAUUAUAUGUAAAUAAUAUAAUAGUCAUUUUCUCACCUUUAACCAAAAAUCAUAUUUAUAUUUGUAGCAGGAUGAAGCCUGCCACAGGAUUGGGGACACCUGGCAUCUAAUUAGUGGGUGUGAACAUAAAGGGAGAUUCUCAGGGGCCAAGACUCUAACAUCUUUAAAUAAUGUUUCUUCUCCUGUAUAAGAUCUGCAAUUUUAGUAGGUUAACUCAAAUUGUUUGCAUUUAGAAACUGCCUGAAGUCUCCUGCUUGGUACUGGGGUGUGGUUAUAAAUUACCACCCCCUCAGUUCAUCUUGACAACAUAAAACAGAAAGUAUCGGCAAGCGUAUCCGCCUGCUGUUGGGCCGGAAGGGGCUUUUUGGACGGGGUGGAGUCAUCCAGCUCUGGCUGAAGGCGGUGGGGAGGGCAUCCAGGAGAACUGGACUUCUGUGCAGUGCACAUGACCGGUGUUGGGAUUUGUUCAUGAUUGAGUGUCUGUUCACAAGUGCUUGAGGUGAUUUAUUUUGAUUUAUUUGUUUUAGGAACCAGUUCCCCAUACUUGGAUUGCCCCCCACCUGCUGGUAGACCCCAGUCUUGUGUUCUUCCCUUCCUAUUGUGGCUCUUAGAAUAUUAGUUGUCUUUUAACACAUGGAACAAUAAAAUUUGACUUUUUUUUUUUUUUUUUUUGUGGAAUAAAGUUUUGCUCUCCUUGGCUAUGAACCUUAAAUGCCUUAUUGGCGAUUUAUUUCCUUGGGCAUAAUU